CGGGUCGGCAAGACGGUCGCGUCACCGGUAACGGUGCCGAGGAACGUCCGGGCUCCAGAGAGCAGGGUGGUGGGUAACACCCACCCGAGGCAACUCGCGAGACAGUGCAACAGAGAGCAGACCGCCGCCGGCCUUGGCCGGCGGUAAGGGUGAAAGGGUGGUGUAAGAGACCACCAGCAUCCGGGGUGACCCGGGUGGCUCGGUAAACCUCGCCCGGAGCAAGGUCAGACAGGGAACUAUGAGGCUGCUCGUCUCGUUCCCGGGUAGACCGCUAGAGGGCCGUGGCAACACGUCCCCGAGAGAGAUGGCCGUCCAGAGCGCGUGCGCUCAGACAGAACCCGGCGUAACAGUCGGCCCGUUCA
rnacentral:RNase_P_RNA from 1 species